rnacentral:misc_RNA from 1 species
GGAGACUCUUUUGACAUAAGAGAUGCUAAUUGCAAAUGACUCAUUUAAAAGCAGUAAGCUUGUUGAUCAUACUAAUUAGGCUUGAAUUCAUCCUGUUUCAACCAGUAAACCUUGACAAGAUCAAAUUUUGGGCUUUGUUUCAACUAUAUCGAGCUUUUAGUGCUGAUCUAGAUCUACCAAGUAGCUUUAAUAUGUAAAGUAAUUUCUUGUUCUAUGCUUUCAUAGUGCACUGUUUAAAUGAUUUCUGCGCCUGGUUGGGCAGCUUUGCUGUGGUACUGAGCACUUACCUGAUCUGUGACAUAUCCUCAUUUCCUAUUUUUCCCCUUGCUUUUUGCUGGCAUGACAUUUUCCUUCACUGAAAGGGAGCUGCUGUAUCA